rnacentral:rRNA from 1 species
AUGGCCGCUGCCACCGAGCAGCUCCUCCUCCCCCAGGAGCAGCCCCGCCGUCGCCCACCGGUAUGGGGGCUCACGGUUGCUGCCCUUCUGCUGGUGCUGCUGCUCGCCGCCACCGGCCCUCUCCGUCCUAGGCUGUUCCGCGCGCCGCCGCCAGCAGAGCGCGUCGCGCUUACCCUCCUCUCUGGCGCGAAGGAGAAGGGUGCAGUGUGCGUGGACGGAACACCGCCCGGUUACCACCUGCAGAGGGGCUCCGGCGACGGCGCCGACCGCUGGCUCGUCCAUCUAGAGGGAGGAGGCUGGUGCAGCACAGUCAAGGAAUGUUCUGACAGCAGACUGUCCACCAAAGGUUCAUCCAACUUCAUGAAACCGAUACGGUUCAUGGGUAAUGGGAUCCUCGGCGGCGAUCAGCUACAGAAUCCUGAUUUCUACAACUGGAACAAAGUCUACGUGCGGUACUGCGAUGGGGCGUCGUUUUCUGGGGACGCGGAAGCUCAAGCACAGGAUGGAACCACACUAUACUUCAGAGGAUUGCGUAUCUAUGAAGCGGUUAUUGAUGAACUCAUGGAAAAAGGACUCACAAAUGCAACACAGGCCCUCUUUACAGGCUGCUCUGCUGGUGCUCUAUCCAUGAUGCUGCAUUGCGAUGAUUUCCGUGCAAGAUUUCCGCAGGAGGUUUCAGUUAAAUGCUUUGCAGAUGCUGGGUUUUUCCUUGAUGAAAAGGAUAUAUCCGGAAAAAGGUCCCUUUGGUCUCUCUACGGCAGAGUCAUUCACCUCCAGAAUGUUAGAAAAGUGUUGCCCAAGGACUGCCUUGCCAACAAGGAGCCAACCGAGUGUUUCUUCCCGGCAGAGCUUAUCAAGAGCAUCCGCACCCCCAUGUUUAUUCUCAACCCUAGUUAUGAUUCAUGGCAGAUACGAAAUGUUCUUGUACCUGAUUCAUCUGCUCCUGACAAGUCAUGGUUGAGUUGCAAGGAAAAUAUCCGAAACUGCAAUUCUACACAAGUUGAAGUCCUCGAUGGAUUAAGGAAUAAGAUGGUCAAUGACUUGAAGGUCGUCGAAGAUAAGGAGGACUGGGGCAUGUUCAUCGAUUCAUGCUUCACGCACUGCCAAUCGCUCUCCGGCGUGUCUUGGCAUUCACCAACCUCCCCGAGGCUUGAAAAUAAGACCAUUGCAGAAGCUGUUGGAGACUGGCACUCUGGAAGGAGCCAAGGAGCGAAAGAGAUUGACUGCAAGUAUCAGUGCAACCCAACAUGCAACAGUUUGCCGCCUCCACGAGAUGUUACUGCAUUUGACCAUGUCGAGAUCUACUAA